rnacentral:rRNA from 1 species
AAUCAACGCUGGCGGCGUGCCUAACACAUGCAAGUCGAACGCGAAAGGGGGCUUCGGCUCCUAAGUAGAGUGGCGUCCGGGUGAGUAACACGUAGGUAAUCUGCCUUCGGGUGGGGAAUAACCAGUCGAAAGAUUGGCUAAUACCGCAUAAUGCAGCGGCACCUAAUGGUGAUUAGUUGUUAAAGCGGGGGAUCGUAAGACCUCGCGCCUGAAGAGGAGCCUGCGGCAGAUAGCUAGUUGGUGAGGUAAUGGCUCACCAAGGCUUCGAUCUGUAGCUGGUCUGAGAGGACGGCCAGCCACACUGGCACUGACACACGGGCCAGACUCCUACGGGAGGCAGCAGUGGGAAUUUUGGGCAAUGGGCGAAAGCCUGACCCAGCAACGCCGCGUGAGGGAGGAAAUCCUUCGGGAUGUAAACCUCACAAG